UUAGAACACAAUUGAGGAAGAAAGUCUGAACAGUCUGGGACUAUAGAUCUCUGUGUGGAACAACAGAUCCUGACUGUUUAUAUCUGGGUCAAGCUGGGAUCUCAGGAGGACAGCUCAAGAGACAGCGAACGUAGGAUGGUGGAACUCUGAAGACCAAGAAGGCAAAUUUGCUCUGAUUGCCAGGUGGAGGAAUAAUACACCUCUGUGUUGGCUUGCUUGGACCCAGCCUGUGACAUGCAAAUGUUACCUGGCUUAAGAUUUUGGAGAUUUUCCAACAACACGACAAAUGGCUAGCUAACAGGGCGACAGAAACCACAACUAUGAAUACACCGUCUGCACUGGUCUCCAUUUUGUCACCUCUCAUUCUCUCUUCAACCCACUGCAGCUCAGCUCUCACCCCUGUCCGCCCCAGUGAUGGAUCUUCUCAAGGUCGCCAUCUUUUCCAUCUUGCCAAGGUCAUGAUAGUCAAGACAUUUUUUGACGAAGACAUUUCUCUGAGCCUCAAUUCUUUCCUCUGGGAACAGGAACAAUAUCACCCACCCAUUGAGACAAAAGUGCUUCAGUGUCAAAGCCACAGACCAAGGGCAGGCACAGCCUCCAGAAGGAAACCUUUUUCAGCAAGCACGAGACAGUGAUCACAGACAGGUGGCCCCGGACAAGAGGACGACAGAGUGCAGCAGACUGAAAUGUCUGAAUGCAGAGCAGGCCUGUGAAUCGUUUCCACUCUGGCAUUUUAAUGAGAAAUAAACGGGGAAUGGGAA